rnacentral:lncRNA from 1 species
NNNNNGACCUUUUGGCCCGCCCAACCAACGCCCGCCUACCCGGGCCUCCCGCACACCCGAGCGCCGCCCUUGGCCGCCUUCCUGGCCGGCCCGGGCUGGCGCUCCGGCCUGUGGCCGCCGCGCCAAACUCCAGGCCCCUACACGCACGCCUCUCCACCCCACCCGCUUCUCACGCCCGCCGCUGCGCGGGCCUGGCGCACUCAGCCCAGGAGGCUGCCCCAGCGCCUCGAACCCACUGGCAACCGGCCUUCCCGACACAGCGCGCGCGCCCCCGCCCACUCACUCACACACCCUUCCCACCGGACCCCACACGCGGGGGCUUCAGGACUUCGCGCCCCAUCGUUCCUCGCCUGCUCUCCCCUUCCCCCUCCGCACACGAGCCCCCCCAUUAGGGGGGUUGUGUAGCCCUCCCUCCCACUCGCGCUCCCACUCCCACUCCCACUCCCCCUCCCCCACCCCACCCCACCCCACCCCACCCCACCCCACCCGACCCUGCGUGAGCAAAGCCCUCCACGGGUCACCCUCCGACUUCUGCCUGGCGCACAGCGCCUCGCUCUUGGAGCGCCACGCCUGCGCAACGGGCGGCACACCGUCCAACACGCUGUCCUUUCCCACAGCCCCCGGCCGCCCGGCCCGCCCAUCCUCUCCACACCCUGCUCAGGUCGCCGUCCCCAUCUCGGUGGCCUGUGGUGCCCACCACGACUUUUCACCUCGGGGCCUCGCCCGGGCCACACAUGCCUGCCUCCCGGGCCCCACGCAGCCCGGCCUUCUGCUCGCCAGCCCACCACAGCGCCCUCCCUGCACGGGGCCUGCCUGGCACGCGGGCCCAACCCGGCAAGCUGGCUCCGGGGAGCAGCGAGCCGAAGCCCUGGAUCCCCGUCGCCCACACGCCACGUCGGGCCCACGGCCGGGGCCAAGCCCCGUCUGCACGCGCGAAGGCGCCUCGGGGGCCCAAACCCACGACGACACGACGGCGCGCCUCCUCCGCGGGCGGCCCGCCGGCCGGCAGCCACUCUGCCAAAGCGCGCCCGCCAUCCA